AUAAUAUUAAAAAAUUGCCUUUGCUUUGCCUUGCCUAGUUGUGGAUGUUUGGUUUACUUGAAAAUGUUAGAGUUGCCACUGGCAAUUUAGACAUGUGAAAAUUUAUUCCAGAUUAUCAACCUAAUUUUCUGGAAGUGUCCUCCGUUAUGUUUACCUUUUGAUGGGUAUGUCGUGUUUCAAAGGACUGCAGUCCAUGUAUUCGAUUAAAUGUCACAAUGAGUGGGGAUGCUGAUGUUGAUCUGUUAUAAAAGAAAACAAUACAAAAAAAACUAUCGUCAACUCUCGUCAUUAAACCUCCUACGCCUGCAUCAACAAAAUUUCCAAACUUUCCUCCAAGUUAGUGCAUUUGGUCCAAUGGGCACAGGAAAGUUUCUUCAUUUGCCCAUCUCAAAAGUAGUUUGCGGUCUAUUGCCGUUCCCUGGACAAAAUUUGACAAAAUGCAAAAUCAUUGUUUCUUUCUAUUUUUUUCACGACAGGCCAUUGGUGAAGAAUUUAGUUGUCAACAAAAUCACUGUUUACUUGUCAGAAGUCUUAGCCAGCUGAGGCCUCCGUUGAAAAUAUGACCAAAUCCAACAGAAGGUUCACUUCGGUGAAGACUAGAGAACCAGUAUGGAUUUUCAAACGUUUUUACUGAAAUCUUUUCUUCUAAUCAUCCAUGUCACACUUUCUUCCUGCAGCGACACCAUAGCCAUAAACCAAACUAUUCAAGAUGUGCACCUUCUUAUCUCCAGAGAAAAGAAUUUUGCAUUAGGAUUUUUUAGGCCUGGAAGUUCCAGGUAUAUCUUGGAAUCUGGUACCACAA
rnacentral:misc_RNA from 1 species